UAGCUCCAGACACGAACAGAAAUUCCUUACAUAUUACAGGAAGUGCGGUGUUUAAAUGCAAACACUGGGGCUCAAGCAGAAACUGUGGUACUCCAGGGUUCUCUAAAAUUGAUGGGAGGGAUUCAUUCUUUUAAAUCCUGCAUCCAGUCGAAUCAGAUCAUGACUGGAAUGGAUUCCAAUUAGGAGUUAUCUCAAUCACUUGGCAGUUCGGCAGCGGGUUGUUAACGAGAUGCAAUGGACAACCUGCAGCUCCUUGUGUUGCCUGGAGCUGAACCCGGGGCGGCGCCUGAUUGGCUGGCGGUGACCCCCAGCGCCUCCUCUCCAUAGAUACCGAGUCCUACCGACCGGCCGCCAUUUUGAAAUCAGCCGCGGUAACCGGAGUUUGGCAGGGCGGCUGCUGGUCAGCAAAGGAGGAACCGACCGGGCGGCAGGGGCAAAGAGAACGCGCAAGGCUUCGGCUCGUUUAAGCGGUUUUUAAAGUUUGUUCGCACUCCACCUCCCUCCCCCUACCCCGUCCCCUCCCCCUCGCUGGCCGCCGUGUUUGGAUCGUCCCUGAGAAUGAGUGACUCGGACAACAGGGCGGACGGGACCGAGCUGAAGAAGGAGGGCGGCAGCGUGCUUAACAGAAUGAAGAGUAGGAGGAACCCGGAGCCCGAGGGCCUGACCCCCAUCACCGAGGCCGAGCUGCUGCAGAAAGACUGCAUCAACCCGCUCAACGUGCUGUGCCUGCAGACCGCUACCGACUCCUACUUAUGCAAGCCCGAAGACAAUAUUUACAACAUCGACUUUACCCGAUUUAAAAUUCGAGACAUGGAAACUGGGACUGUUUUGUUUGAGAUUGCCAAGCCACCAACCUCCGAGCUAGAAGAAGACAAUGAUGAUGAAAAUGGAGAGAUGGAUUCCAGUUCUGGGCGUUUUGUUCGUUAUCAGUUCACUCCUGCCUUCUUGAGACUGAGAACAGUUGGUGCAACGGUAGAAUUUACAGUUGGAGACAAGCCUGUAAGUAGCUUCAGGAUGAUUGAAAGACAUUACUUCAGGGAGCGGCUGUUGAAAAGCUUUGAUUUUGACUUUGGAUUCUGUAUUCCGAACAGCAGAAACACAUGCGAGCACAUAUAUGAAUUCCCUCAACUUUCUGAAGACGUCAAUGGUCUGUAAUACAAUUAAGACAAAGCAGGGCUUUGGGGAAAAGGCAGGGUACUGGGGCUAGUUCAAGAGAUGGUGGACAAUCCUUAUGAUACACGAUCUGACAGUUUUUACUUUGUGGACAGCAAGCUGAUCAUGCACAACAAGGCAGAUUACGCAUAUAAUGGAGGACAGUAGUGGAACACUUCGAAGCAUAUAUAUCUCAGCAGCGACACAGCCCAUUCAGCCUAAGCCUGCAUUGAUGAAGAGGGUGGCUUUUGGCUGUGAAUUAUCUUUUAUCAUUUCUAUGCAUUCUGCACAAGUGAGAAAAUUAGUUAUGCUUACUAAUGACUGAGGUGAUUGAGUGUUUGAGUUGGAAAUUCUACCCAUGUACAAUAUGCAAUGAUCACCUAUACCUGAAAUGAAUGCCUAGUUGUGAUGAAAGAUUCCUCAUAAUAAAGGGAUCUAUUUGUAUUUAUAGUAAAAUAGUCAUGCCACUGCUGUGAACAUGGCCUUGCACUAUGUUUGGGUCUUGGUGGAAGACACUAGAGUAAUUGAUUAGAAGACCAAAUCAUUCCCCAUUUAAACAAAAAUGAUUACAGGGCACCUGGUUAACCUUUCUAUUACAGUGCACAUAAAAUAUCCAUUUACCUGGUGACCACAGUGCAGUACUUCAAAUCUUCAAUGGAGCAGUAUCCAAGUCUGAACUUGAAAAUGUGCAUUGAAUGUUACAUAUUUAUCACUAGUUUAUUAAGUCAGAAAGGAUUAGAUGCAAAGAUUUUUGCAAAAUUAUUUUUUUUAAUGGAAAAUAAGUUCCUCAAGAAACAUGGUGUGUUGACUUUUACAUCUUCCAUUGUAUGUCAAUCUAAAGUUUUUAGAUAUGAUCCUUUUUUGAUCCAUGAGUCUUUUUCCAUGGCAUGAAUUGGUAGGUGUGGCUGACGAAAUGAGCGCAUCAUUUAAAGGUUAUGGCCACUAGUUUGAGAACAGUCUAGUUUUUUGUGGUUUGGGAAACUCCAUGUUGUAGAAAUUAUUGUGAAACCUUCAAAGGUUCUUGGGUUCAUUUAAUUUCUCUGUAUUCUCCAUCUGUUACUAAUCUUUGGCAAAAUGUAUAGGAUUUCCAAGUUGUGAUAUUUGAAAGUAGACAUCUCAAUCCAAGGACUGCCUUCAAAGUUCUGCAUCAGAAACUGAAUGGCAAAAGUAUUUAUUAACUACAUUUAUUUCCUUUAUAACUUGGAAAAUUAUCUUGUUUAAUCCUAUGAGAUGAUGCACCGUAGCUUAUAAGCCAGAAAAGUUGGAUCUAAGAGGUAGUCUGCCAAAAAAAUGAUCAGAAUCUAAUAAAAUUUUAUUUUGAACUAUAGCUUGAAUGUGACUGAAUACCAUAUUGUUACAUUGACAUAAAUUGAAUGUAUGUAAAUGAUUAAGAAAAAAUAUAAUCGCCUUCCUAAUAUUGCAAGUUGAAACUGAAAUAAUGCCAAAUUUCUCAGGCACCAGCAGCUUUAAAUUGUAAGAAAUAUAAAAGCUACCGUAACACACCUGGUAUAGAUUUACACACCAUUUUUGGUAUUCCCAUCUAAAUCUCCACCCCAUUUUUACUUUGAUAGUGCAAUUUCUAUAGUAUGAUCUUUGAUUACCGCUCAAUCUUUUCUGCCUUGUAGUGAAAUUCAGCCAUGAGUUCUAAACCUAUGGAUUCUUAGAACCAAUGGCAGAUUUUUUGGCACUUCCACCUGUGAUUCUGAUUUCAAAGUUCAGAGCACAAAUAUCAGAGAUGUCUGUCCCAGGCAUUUAGAUCCAUGUAGUUUCUUUGCACUGAUAUUCUGAACAUAGCAGAGACUGAUGUCUCCAUUUUAUAAUAAUAGACCAGUAAGAAACUGCUUUGGAGUAAUUUGAAUGCCUGCUGUGUUGAAGGAAUGCCAGCAUUAGUCCAGAUGUAGAGUAGCUUGCAUUUGGCCUGUGAACAUGUUUUUUUUGUAAAUUUGGGUAAUAUGUGGUCAAGGGUGGGUGCAUAGAGUAUUUGAUGAACCUUUUAUGGAGGCUAUUUGGCACUUGGUUGAUUUUUUUAAAGAAAAAUCUUUAAGCAUGUUAACAUUGUGGUACUGCUCCCAUUGUCUUCACUUCAUUUAGACUCUGAAAGAGAUUUUUGAUUUUAAAUUGGGAAAUCUUGCCACCAGGUCAUUGUUACAUUUCAUCUGUAACUUGAUUAUUCAAUGUAAAUCAUUUGCUAAUUUUUAAACAUUUUCAAAGCUAAUGAUAUUUGCUAUACUGAUUUGAAAAUCUUUCUCUGUGGGAUUGAUUGUUGGCACUAGGUAAAUUGUUAGGAAAAGUCAUUAGUCCAAGAUGUAUUAUGUAGUUUCUCUUAGUUUCAGACUGUUUGAUAUUUCCCUGCUAAUAGCAUGGUGAUAUCAUUAGUAUGCUCUCUUACCAGAAAAACAGAUCAGGAGUUCUGAUGGGCAUCAUCCCCUUCAAACAAAAUAUAAGUACGUCUUGAUCUAUUAAAUUAGGAUUGGGACUUUACUUGGAUCUUUUAGGACUCUGGGCUUCACUCUAAGUCUAUAGUACUCUUCAAAACUGUUCUUGCCCCAUUCCAACCCUCAACUUUCUCCAUCUUUUUUCUUGUCCCCCUCCUCCCAAAACUCAGGCAACCUAGCAAUAACUUUUGUAAAGGAAACCAUAAGGCAAAAGCUUGAAUGUGGAUGAUUGAAUUUGCUACUAAAAUGAGGUAAAGGGUUUUGGUGUAAACAAAGAUAUCUGGUGUAGUCUUUUUUUUUUGGUGGAUGGGCUGGUGAAAGAAAGCUUUUCACUUUUAAGAGAUGGGUAGAAUAUCCAUUGUGGUUUUCACCAGCCUGGUUCAAUUUGGGUUUCAUGACUCCUCAGAUAUUCUUGAAACUGUUUGAAUACAUCCAAAAUACAUUGAUUCAUAUGCAGGUUUGCUCAGGUCUGGCCUCCUAGCUCAAUAUAACAGUUGCAGGAAGGAGCAAGUAUUUUUACAUGUGGUGGAAACUAGGAGCUAAUUUAGAUCUGACCACAUUUCUUGAUUGGCAUAACAAAGAGGACAAAAGUUGGAGAAAAUAUAUUUGAUGUAAAUUAACAAGAACUUUAUUGCUCUGUAAACUGAUAUUCUUUUGUAGUUCUGCACCUUUUUACAUUUUAACAUACUUCUGAUUUCUAAACCACCUUUGGCAAUGAAAACUGUGGGUUUUGAAAUUAUUUUGGAGCUGUUGCCUGACAAUUCUAUAGGUCAGAUUGGUGAAUCCAUAAGCAAUUCUCAGGCUUGUAUGAUAGAUUGCUUUGUCUAAUAAGACCCAAAAUAUGUAGCAUCUGCUUUCCUCCUUAUCUCUCUUCUGCUUUAUCUCCUUUCAUUCAGCUGCUGCUAUAUUUGUUUAGAUUUUGAUGUGUUUGUGCAAAAUUGAAACCAGUGCAAUUCCGUAUACCUAAGUGCUAAUCGCCAAACUUGCAGUGGAAAUGCUGUUGACAAUGUCUGCCUUUCAUCUGGUACUUUUGGGUUUGUAUUAAUUCAUUUGAAAGUGUGUCUGAUAAACUUCCUAGAGGAGCGAGUCUUGCUCCACUUCAUUUUGGAGUCUGUUAGAGCCUUCACACCCAAUUUACCCUCCAAGUGUAGAGUUGAUGAGAAGUGGUGCUGAACUUAUGCCGCUAAACUAGAGAGUGAGAGAAACCCACAUACAGUUCCAUCACCUUGCCACUGCAAAUUUUGAUCAGUAAUUACUUUUAUCCUCGUCCUUUAUGAAAUGUAAGAUAUGCCAUUCAGCUUGAAAAUUGGUAAAAUCUGCCGAAAAGAGAAUUGGGUUGGUGCCAUUUGAUACUUAGUACUUCACCGUGAAUUAUAAAAACAUUCCUCUCUAGGCCAGCUUUUUACCUCUUAUAACUGUUAACAUUGAUUGUAUUUUAUAGUAUAUUUGAGGCCUGUGGUUGUGUAUUGUUUUUUAUAGUAAACAUAUGCCCAACAGUAUAUGCUAAGAUUGGGAUAGAAAUUUGAACAAUAUGUAGGAAAUCUCCUCAGUUACUGAUACAAUAAAAGGGGUACCUUUCUGUGCAUACUUAUUGCCUAUAGCUUAAUGGCAUUUGCGUCAUCAGCUCUUCCAGAAAGGGUAAAAAAAAUCUGAUUUGAAAGGGAUCAUGAAAGUUACAGCCAGUGAUCCCAAUACAAGAAUCCGUUCAGAGCCAUGAUGUAGGCCACACAUGAAAAAUUAUCUUGAAAGUGUAAGGAUGAUGAAUUAAAUAACAGUCAGAGUGAUGGUUGUCACAUGUGUAAUUGAGUUAGCAUAUCACAAUUCCCUUCAGUUUGCUUAGCUGAUUUUUUUCUCUCUACCCCAAGAUAGUCUUAUAUCCAUACUGCAAGCUGCCCUGGGUUGUAACUUUUUGUCUUCAACUGAACAUUGCAAAUGAAUGUAAUAAUUGAGUACUAGACACCAAUUUUGUACUGUUCUUUGCAUGGUAUUAUAGGUAAAAUGAUUUUCUCAAGACCUCAAAAAAACAGCUUACGGUUUUCUUUGCCACAGGCAAGCUGUGUAAUUAAUUUAUUAUAAGGAAAGGAUGACAGUGAGAUGGGGAUGCUUGCAAUCUACUUCGGCCCUUGAGUUUCUUAGAAAGAUCAAGAUGUCUCCUAACUCCUUCGUGAACUAACUCCUACUAGUUAAUACUGAAAGCUUGUAUAUGUUUCUAGCUCACAGCCUGAAAUUCUUGAAAAUCUCUAUUAGCAAAGAAAAUUGAGAAGCUUGCCUAUUCUGGGAAGAAGCUCUUAAGAGGAUAGGUUAGUUGGGAGGAGGAAGCAAGAACAUAAAACCCAGUUUUGCCUGUUUUCCCAGUGCUAAGAAAUUCCAUCAAAUCCAUUAGCAUCUAAGCUUUUGCUUUUCACAUAGUUCUUUUAGGUUGCAUUGUGCUUUUCUUUGACAAGUAUCUAUUGUGGAAUUAAGGACAGUCAAAUGCAGCCUUCCAUUGACAUUGGCAUGAAAAGAUGAAACUGGUUAAACAUUCAGCAGUCAUAUAGGCAAUGUGCCUGGUGCACUGACUUUGGAUGACUGACCCUUAGGAGAAUGAGUUGUCCUCCAUAUGUUGUAUUUACCACUUCUCUCCCUUUUACCAUGGGUCUGUGGUUAUGGUGAAAUAAAGAGAAGUGAAAUUCUGUCAGGUUGCCUAUUGUAAUUUCUGUUCUUGGAGCCAACAAUUGAUGACAGUCAUUUGGAUUACUUGACUACAGCAAAAAGUGUGAGAAUAGUUGUUAAAGUAUCUGUAAGCUAUACAUUCAGACUGUAUGGCCAUUGGCCUCUAAUUGAGUCAGGGUGAAAUGCAACGUACAUGAUGUGCUGCUGUUUCUCUGGAUACCAAUCUUGUCCCUAUGAAUUUCCUAUUCCUUGGCAUGCCCUAGUUGAAUUUGGAUGAGGUCUAUUACACCAAAUGGGAGGAAUUAACUUUUUCAUAAUUAACUGUUACCACAUUCUGAGAAUGGAGUACUGAUUGAUGUAGGCAAUUUACCUCUCGUUCACAAGAAUCCUCUGCCCUGAAAUGUGAGGCUUUCAAACUAUGUAUGUAUAGUUCAUUAAAAAAAUAUUCUGGUUAGGUUUCCAACAAUACUGUAUUAAAGUGAAAAUGUACAUUUGAAUAAGGCUCACGUCCUUGAAGUGCUUGCUAAUGCACACAAAAUAAAGCAGUUUGGAAAUUGGCACGGUGAUGGUGCACCAGUUCUCAUAUUUGCAUCCAAAUCUCAUUCAUGAUAUAUUCAGUGUUUCAGUUGUAUCUUGCACAGUUUUUUUUUUAAAAGUGUUUCACUGCUUCCUCAACCCUUAGUACAUUUUAUAUUAGUACCAAAUUUAAUAGAUGAGAAAUGCUUUUAGGGAUAUUUUAUGAAGGGUAAUAAAUGUUGCUGAGUAAAUCUUAUAUUUUUAAACUUGAUAAUUUGUUUAAUAUUUUCACAGGAAAUGUAAGAUGCAUAAAUUCACAAUUGUGACUUGAUGCUUUGUAAUUGCAUUAGGAUAUUGAACUGUAUUUUGUAGCACCCCAUCUUCAAUUUUUCAUGUUUAAAGUGACAGGUGGCUUGUUUGUAUAAAAUGUUAUUUUGUCACAAAAGAAUAGUAAUAAAGAUUUUUGAUUUUCAA